CGACGACUGAGUCAUUGUGUGCGAGCGCUGAUGACAGAGGCAACAAAUAUUUUUCUGUCGUUAGCAUCGAUAAAAGUACGCAGAUAAUUUAAUGAAAUUUUGAAGAGUUGCAACUUUCGACGAUACCUUCGUUUCGAUAUGUUUGGCAAAAAGAAAGAGCCAAAGGGACAGUCCAGGUCUGGAAAUCUUGCUCAGUAUGGAAUAUUCGAAGUACCCGAAAGUUUGGACGAUCUUGGAGGUGCAGGAGAAGACGAGGACGACGAGGAUUUGGAAGCCGAAUUGGCUGCUUUAACGAGCGGUGCCAGUACGUCGCUCGAACAAAAGCAUAGGGUUCGGAGAACGGAUUCUUCCGACUUAAACGCCAUGGUGUCUGAAAGCGUUAAGGACAUGGACCAGGAUAUUUCUGACGGAGAGGACGAUCCAGAUUUACUGGAGGAACUCGAUAUGCUUACCGAACACGAGUCUGCUUUGUCGGAUCAAGAGACGAACCAGGAAGCAAACGAUUCUGAGAAUGGUCUUCGUAAAGAAAAUGACGGUCCUGUAGGAGACGAUAGGCUAAAGUUAUUACGGGAAAGGCUAGAACUUUAUCAAAAGGCCGAGAAGAAGGCGAAGCGAGGAAACGAAGCCGGUAAGGCCAGAAGAUUCGGUAGGGGUAUUAAGACGUUGCAACAGCUGUUAAAGGACGCUGAGAUGGGUACUGUUAUAAACGAGGCCGAUAUUCCACCUCCUUUACCUCCUUCGGCUAUCUCCGAAUUCACAGAGCGACCUACGGACGAUGCCGCGUCCCCCAAAGUACCGGUGGAAGAUCCUACGUCGCCGAGUCCCGAAGGGGACGUCGAUUCCGAACCGAGUCCUGCGGCACCAGUUGUUCAGGUCGAUCAGGAAGCAUUAGAUUUGUUAAACAAACGACAGCAGGAGUAUAAAGUCGCUGCGCUUGCGUGGAAGAAGGCUGGUAACAUGCAAGAGGCUAUGAAGUGUGUAAAAGUUGCAAAACAAUUUGAUAUAGUUAUCGCGGCGACUAAUGCCGGAGAAGCAAUCGAUUUAUCCGAUAUGCCAGCUGCGCCAACCGGACCUUCUGUAUCGGCUUCCGUAUCACCUGCACCUUCCGCGUCGCCUUCCAUCGAGAAAGAAGACGUUGAGGUUCAACAACGUGCCGAGCCAGAUACACCGGCUCCAAAUAAAAUGGACGAAGUAACGGAACAACGGCAUGGCUUGGAAGACGUAGAAAGUGCCCUUAAAGAGCGUCUCGACGUAUAUAAGCGAACAAAAGCGAUUGCAGAGAACGAAGGGAAUUCUUCCAAAGUUCGAAGGUACGCUCGUAUUUGCAAGCAGUUCGAAGAAGCGAUUAAACUGCACGCGCGUGGGAAGCCCGUGCCUCUGGACGAACUUCCUGUCCCACCGGGUUUUUCACCGCUUUCUACGGGUGUCCAGUCUAGCGUAUCGGAGGGACCGAAGGAAGACGAGAGAUCCAAACCGGAAUCCAAUUCGGAGGGAACGCCCGGGACGAAUGUGCCAAGUCCACCUCCGCGAACGAGCAUGGCAGUAAAUAAAAAUAAAAAGCACGCUACACGAGCGGAUAAACAGAUGGUGAUGUUGCAACAACGUCAAUACGAAUUGAAAGAGGCCGCGUUAAAAGCUAAGAAUGACGGAGAUUUGGACUUGGCACGCGAUUAUUUGAGACAAGCGAAGGGAAUACAGCCCUUGAUCCAAGCCAGCAUCGCCGGUCUACCGGUCGAUAUGAAUUCUAUACCCUUAUCGCCAGUUGCCAAAAUGGAACUCAGUGCGCACGGUUUAACCGGACAAACGGACGAAAAUUUCCAAUUGAUCCACAGCGAAGAUUGUUUGGAGGAAUCCGGUGGCAGCGACGAACAAAUUUACGACAACUUGGAGAACCAGUUGAUCAAACAGAUAAAAUGGUGUCUUUCUACGAGAGAUCAUUCGAAACAAUUGGGAGACGUUCCAGGAUAUAACAGAUGGGAACGACUCGCGUUAGGAUAUACCAGGGAUUUGGACAUGUUACGCGUUAGAAGACGCGAUUCGUUACCGCCUCCGCUGCAUCACUACGAGACCAAAACAUACGCGAUAGUUCAGAGUUGCACCGACUUGAACGAUAGCGAUAUUGAAAUUUCGAUAAUAAGAGGUAUCAAUUAUCCGCGUGACGCGGAUACUUACGUUAUGUUUGAGUUUCCCUAUCCUUCGGACAGUCCUCCUGCAGACAGAACAUCGACGGUCAAAGGUACAUGCAAUCCCGAGUACCAAGCUACGUUUCCGCUAACUGGCAUCCUGGAUCGCAACUCGCGGCAAUGUCAACGGGCAUUCAAACGACACGCUCUCAAGUGUCAAGUUUGGGCGAAAGGGCAUAGAUACGAUAGUGAUUUUGCUUUUUCAUCGAUUCGUUAAGCAGUCGAAUCGUUUGUUCGAAAGAUGGGAGAGAGAGAGAGAGAGAGAGAGAGAGAGAGUUGCGUUCCAUACCAUAUGCGUGUCUAAUAAUUUACAGGCUAUAAUUUGCAGCUCCUAAUAAGCAAACAUUUUCCACUGGCUAGAGACGAAUGGUCCCCUAUUUCUCUCUCCUGGAGUUUUUUCAUUCCCUGUGUAAACUUUCCUUUCGAGGUUGAUUGCGCUUAAUUAUCGAAUUUUAUUGAAAAUAGAAAAUAUGAAAAAUCUUGGACGUCGAGAAAAUUCCAAUAUACUUACUCACUAGUCGAUAUUAGAUUAUUGCAGUAAAUGGAUUAGGACGUUGCUUACAGAUGCUCGCUGAACCCCAUCCUGUGUUGCACUCAUCCAAGAUUCUCGAACGUGUCUUCACGAGCAUUUACGAGCAAGCUGUAGCAACGUUACGACUAUUGUGCUGCAUUAUUCGAACGACUUAGAUCUUUUUAACGAAAAUCCCGUCGUAACUCAAUCAAUACGUUUGUAUCGUUAUAGAGGAUUUUUCAGAAGCGAUAGUUUGCUGGGUACCGUGACGGUAAAAUUGCAAUCGCUCGAGAUGCAAUGUAUUCUACACGAUUCGUUUCCA